UAAUACGUAGGUGGCAAGCGUUGUCCGGAUUUAUUGGGUUUAAAGGGUGCGUAGGCGGUCUUCUAAGUCAGUUGUGAAAUACUUCAGCUUAACUGGAGAGGUGCAAUUGAUACUGGAAGACUUGAGUACUGAUGAGGUAGGCGGAAUGGACGGUGUAGCGGUGAAAUGCUUAGAUAUCGUCCAGAACACCGAUAGCGAAGGCAGCUUACUAAGGAGUAACUGACGCUGAGGCACGAAAGUGUGGGGAUCAAACAGGAUUAGAUACCCUGGUAGUCCACACUGUAAACGAUGAUUACUCGAUGUUGGCGAUACACAGCCAGCGUCUUAGCGAAAGCGAUAAGUAAUCCACCUGGGGAGUACGCCGGCAACGGUG
rnacentral:rRNA from 1 species